AUUUACUAUGUUUAAAAAUAAUGUUUCUAUUUACUAUGUACACAAAAAUUAUGUUACAAUAUAAUAUGUACACAGGAAAUAAUGUUACAAUUUACUGUGUUUAAAAAUAAUGUUUCUAUUUACUAUGUACACAAAAAUAAUGUUACAAUUUACUAUGUACACAUCAAAUAAUGUUAUAAUUUACUAUUUUUUAAAAUAAUGUUUCAAUUUACUAUGUACACAAAAAUUGUUACAAUAUACUAUGUUUAAAAAUAAUGUUUCUAUUUACUAUGUACACAAAAAGUAUGUUACAAUAUAAUAUGUACACAGGAAAUAAUGUUACAAUUUACUAUGUACACAGAUGUUUGUAUUUACUAUGUAUACAAAAAUGUUACAAUAUACUAUGUACACAUCAAAUGUUACAAUUUUCUAUGUUCACAAAUGUUUCUGUUUACUAUGUACAAAAAAUGUUACAAUAUAUUAUGUACACAUCAAAUAAUGUAACAAUUCACUAUAUUCAUAAUAAUUGUUCUAUUUGCUAUGUACACAAAGGUUUCUAUUCAUUAUAUACACAAAAAAACUUUACAAAAUACUAUGUACACAUCAAAUGUUACAAUUUACUAUUUUUAAAAUAAUAUUUCUAUGUACUAUGUACACAAAAAGUAUGUUACAUUAUACUAUGUACACAUCAAAUAAUGUUACAAUUUAGUACGUACACAACAAUAAUGUUACAAUUCAUCAUGUACUCAUCAAAUGUUACGAUUUACAAAGUACACAAGGAAUGUUUCUAUUUACUAUGUACACAAAAAUAAAGUUACAGUAUACUAUGUACAUGUCAAGUAAUGUUACAAUCUACUAUAUACACAGAAAAUGUUACUAUUUACACAAAAUAAUGUUACUAUUUACACAGUGCAUCGGAGAAGUAUUCACAACGCCUUUACAGCCUUAUUACAAAAUAGAUUUCAUAAAUUUUUCCCUCAAAAUUCUACAGACAAUACCCCUUAAUGACAAUGUGAAAAAGUCUUUAAACGUUUUUUGAAAAUGUUAAAAAAAAAAAAAAAAACUACUUAGUUCAACUAAGUACACAUCAAAGAAUGUUACAAUUGACUAUGUACGUGUUUAUGGAUCUUGUCGUUCAUGAGGUUAUUGUAUUCCCAGGGCCUUCAAUGGAUGGCAAGUGAAGUGCUGAGUUUGUGUUGACAUUGAUCACAUUUUAUCUGUGCACAGGCUGCUAGGACCAGACAAUGUAUCCUCUAACAAGAUGAGGGGUGCAUGCCCAGGGAAGAGAGAGUUUGCACGUUUUAUCAAAUAUAUUUUUAUACAUUUUCCAGAUAACCAAGUAAAGGUGAGUCAUGUUUACAGAAAGAUUGAAAAUAUAAUCCACACAAAGAUAAAGAAUAAAAGAAAACCCACAAAAAAAGUAACCUUCACAUUUCCUUUGAUUUAAGGUAGCGAUUAGCGCGUUAGUUGUCACCUAGUGAUGAGUGUACAUGUUUUGUAAAGUUUGCGGGUCCUUGGCCUGUAAAAAGUUGAAUACCCUUGAUGUCCAGCGAACAAAAUCUAUCAAUAAUUAAGAGUAGGAGGUGUAAAUGUGAAUAGUAGAAGACCAGGAACACAAAACAUGUAAUAAAACAAGAUCUAGCUUGUAGCUUGUCACAUUAUAUGUGUUGAUCAUUCCGCUGCUUGAUUGGCUAUUUGCUCCAGGAAGUGAGUCUCUGUGGGCUUCUGCUCGCUCAAAUCGGUGCUGAGUUUCCAAACGCUGACCACGCCGUCACUUCCUCCUACAGCCAGGAGGCCGCCAUUCUGCGCGUUGAAGGCCAAACACGUGGCGGCCUUGUUGACGCCUUCUGGACCGAUGGUGGCUGCUGGUCUUAGUGAUCUUCCACUCAGUGGCUGCAGCAAAGACCAAAGGUCGGCUUGGAGACCACUGCACUUUGAAGACGUAGCUGUCAGACACUCGUAGUGACAGCAGAGGGUUGUUUUGCAGCAGAGAAUGCAGGUGAGCAGUGUAUGGAGUGGACAGGUGUCUGUACCUGUGGACAGGUGAGCAGUGUAUGGAGUGGACAGGUGUGUGUACCUGUGAAAAGGUGAGCAGUGUAUGGAGUGGACAGGGCCACUGCCAGGUUUGAAAGAGAAGACCGCGGGAGCUCUCAGUGGAACACUUUGACUUUCAGGUGGAAGAGCAGCGGGUGUUUGUGAGGACAGAGAGCAUCUCAGCAGAAGACCACCCUCAGAACCAACAAUCAGAGUGUCUGGGUCCCAGGUGGACAGAUCCAUGGAGGUGACGCCCACUGUGACAGUUCCUUGGACCUGUACACACACACAAACCCAAAAACUGAAUCGAAGAAAUCUUCUCCUAAAAAGACACUUUGGAAAACACAACCUGAUCAUGAAAUUAUUGAAGAAUGAGAACUGUAAGUAAGUUCCAUAAGUAAACUCUUUAAGUGGCCAAGUAAGUGAAUAUGGUAGUAAAUAGGUAGGUAAUAAUAAGUAAGUAAACAUGUUAGUAAAUAGUUAAGAAAAUAUGUUAGUAAGUAGGUCAGUAAGUAAAUAUGUUAAUAAAUAAGUCAGUAAGUAAAUAUGUUAGUAAAUAGGUCAGUAAAUAAAUAUGUUUGUAAAUUGGUCAGUAAGUAAAUAUGUUAAUAAAUAAGUCAGUAAGUAAAUAUGUUAGUAAAUAGGUCAGUAAAUAAAUAUGUUUUAAAUUGGUCAGUAAGUAAAUAUGUUCGUAAACAGGUAGGUAAGAAAGUCAGUAAAUAUGUCAUUUAAUAGGUAAGUAAGUAAAUAUGGAAGUAAGUCAAUAUGUUAGUAAAUAGGUAAGUAAGUAAAUAUGUUUGUAAAUAGGUCAGUAAGUAAAUAUGUUAGUAAAUAAAUAUGUUUGUAAAUAGGUAAGUAAGUAAAUAUGUUUGUAAAUAGGUAAGUAAUUAAAUAUUUUCGUAAACAGGUAGGUAAGUAAGUCAGUAAAAAUGUUAUUUUAUAGGUAAGUAAGUCAAUAUGUUAGUAAAUAGGUAAGUAAAUAAAUAUGUUUGUAAAUAGGUAAGUAAGUAAAUAUGUUUGUAAAUAGGUCAAUAAUUAAAUAUGUUCAUAAACAGGUAGGUAAAAAGUCAGUAAAUAUGUUAUUAAAUAGGUAAGUCAAUAAAUAUGUUAGUAAAUAGGUAAAUAAGUCAAUAUGUUAGUAAAUAGGGAAGUAAGUAAAUAUGUUAAUAAAUAGGUCAGUAAGUAAAUAUAUUCUUGAAUAGGUAAGUAAGUAAAUGUGUUAGUAAAUAGGUCAGUAAGUAAAUGUGUUAGUAAGUAUGUUUGUAAAUAGGUCAAAUUUUUAAAUAAGUUCGUAAAGUAGGUAAGUAAGUCAGUAAAUAUGUAAUUUAAUAGGUAAGUAAGUAAAUAUGUUAGUAAAUAGGAAAGUAAGUCAGUAUGUUAGUAAAUAGGUAAGUAAGUCAAUAUGUUAAUAAAUAGGUAAGUAAGUAAAUAUGUCAGUAAGUAAAUGUGUUAGUAAGUAGGUAGGUAAGUCAGUAAAUAUGUUAUUUAAUAGGUAAGUAAGUAAAUAUGUUAGCAAAUAGGUAAGUAAGUCAAUAUGUUAGUAAAUAGGUAAGUAAGUAAAUAUGUUAAUAAAUUGGUCCGUAAGUAAAUAUGUUCUUAAAUAGGUAAUUAAGUAAAUGUGCUAGUAAAUAGGUAAGUAAGUAAAUAUAUUAGUAAAUAAGGAAGUAAGUAAAUAUGUUAGUAAAUAGAUUGGUAAGUAAAUAUGUUAGUAAAUAGGUCAGUAAGUAAAUGUGUUAGUAAAUAGGUAAGUAAGUAAGUAAAUAUGUUAGUAAAUAGGCCAGUAAGUAAAUGUGUUAAUAAAUAGGUAAGUAAGUAAAUAUGUUAGUAAAUAGGCCAGUAAGUAAAUGUGUUAGUAAAUAGGUAAGUAAGUAAAUAUGUUAGUAAAUUAGGAAGUAAGUAAAUAUGUUAGUAAAUAGAUUGGUAAGUAAAUAUGUUAGUAAAUAGGUAAGUAAGUAAAUGUGUUAGUAAAUAGGUAAGUAAGUAAAUAUGUUAGUAAAUAGGUCAGUAAGUAAAUGUGUUAGUAAAUAGGUAAGUAAGUAAGUAAAUAUGUUAGUAAAUAGGCCAGUAAGUAAAUGUGUUAGUAAAUAGGUCAGUAAGUACAUAUGUUAGUAAAUAAGUAAGUAAGUAAAUAUGUUAGUAAAUAGGUAAGUAAGUAAAUGUGUUAGUAAAUAGGUAAGUAAGUAAAUAUGUUAGUAAAUAGGUCAGUAAGUAAAUGUGUUAGUAAAUAGGUAAGUAAGUAAGUAAAUAUGUUAGUAAAUAGGUAAGUAAGUAAAUAUGUUAGUAAAUAGGCCAGUAAGUAAAUGUGUUAGUAAAUAGGUCAGUAAGUAAAUAUGUUAGUAAAUAAGUAAGUAAAUAUGUUAGUAAAUAGGUAAGUAAGUAAAUGUGUUAGUAAAUAGGUAAGUAAGUAAAUAUGUUAGUAAAUAGGCCAGUAAGUAAAUGUGUUAGUAAAUAGGUCAGUAAGUAAAUAUGUUAGUAAAUAAGUAAGUAAAUAUGUUAGUAAAUAGGUAAGUAAGUAAAAAUGUUAGUCAAUAGGUCAGUAAGUAAAUAUGUUCGUAAAAAGGUAGUAAGUUAGUCUGUAAAUAUGUUAGUAACUAGGUAAGUAAGUAAAUAGGAAAGUAAAUCAGUAAAAAUGUUAUUGGGUUAGAAAGUAAGUACAUUUGUUAGUAAAUGGGUAAGUUAGUAAAUAUGUUAGUAAAAGUAAAGUACGUGGGUGAGUAAAAAUGGAAAUACAGUGCAUAGAUAAAUUGAUAAAGUACAUAGGUAGAUAAAUAAGUCAUAUAACAUAUGAUGUAAGUACAUUUAUGAGUGUGUGGUUACUUUGAAGUUGGUGCCGCAGGAAGGAAUCUGUUGUUGGAUCAAAAUAAAAGCUGAUUUCACAUCAAA